GGGAUUACUGGCGGAGGAGAGAGCGGUGGUCAAUUGGAAAGUGAGCCAGAUGAUGAAAUCAUCGAAAAUAAUGAUGCAAGUAACGUUGCAAACGCAACGACUGUCCGGUGUUGCAGCCCAGCGAACCCUCACCCUCGGACACGAAAAGUGUC